rnacentral:rRNA from 1 species
GGAGGGUGCGAGCGUUGUUCGGAAUUACUGGGCGUAAAGCGCGUGUAGGCGGCUACUUAUGUCGGGUGUGAAAGCCCUGGGCCCAACCCAGGAAGUGCGUCCGAAACUGAGUGGCUUGAGUACGAGAGAGGAGGACGGAAUUCCCAGUGUAGAGGUGAAAUUCGUAGAUAUUGGGAGGAACACCGGUGGCGAAAGCGGUUCUCUGGAUCGAUACUGACGCUAAGACGCGAAAGCGUGGGUAGCAAACAGGAUUAGAUACCCUGGUAGUCCACGCCGUAAACGAUGGAUAUUAGGUGUUGCGGGCAACCCCCCCGCAGUGCCGUCGCUAACGCAUUAAAUAUCCCGCCUGGGGAGUACGGCCGCAAGGUUA